AUUGAACGCUGGCGGCAUGCCUUACACAUGCAGGUCGAAUGGCAGCACGGGAGCAAUCCUGGUGGCGAGUGGCGAACGGGUGAGUAAUGUACCGGAACGUGCCCAGUCGUGGGGGAUAACGUAGCGAAAGCUACGCUAAUACCGCAUACGAUCUAUGGAUGAAAGCGGGGGAUCGCAAGACCUCGCGCGAUUGGAGCGGCCGAUAUCAGAUUAGGUAGUUGGUGGGGUAAAGGCCCACCAAGCCUGCGAUCUGUAGCUGGUCUGAGAGGACGACCAGCCACACUGGAACUGAGACACGGUCCAGACUCCUACGGGAGGCAGCAGUGGGGAAUUUUGGACAAUGGGCGCAAGCCUGAUCCAGCAAUGCCGCGUGCAGGAUGAAGGCCUUCGGGUUGUAAACUGCUUUUGUACGGAACGAAACGGCUUUUUCUAAUACAGAGAGCUAAUGACGGUACCGUAAGAAUAAGCACCGGCUAACUACGUGCCAGCCGCCGCCGUAA
rnacentral:rRNA from 1 species